AAGGAGGGGGGUUGCAAAGCACCCCACUAAUUUGCUAAUUUGGCUAAGGUAAGAGCAAAGGUCUGAUAGUACUCCUACAGGAUUUUUAGAAAGACUAUUAGAGCGGUACAGGAUGUAAACUCAUUUUAAUCCCAUGGCAGCAGAUCGCCAAGCCAAUGUAGUGAUGUCUUUUAUAGGCCAGUCAGCAUCAGACAGCAAGUUGCAGAGAAUGGAGGGACGGCAGAGAUGCUCCCUCCAGGACUUAAUAAAAAAAAAAUUACAUUGUACAUACAGACCCCAGAGUUCAGGACAGGUAAAAAGGAUAAAUAAAGACCCUUACCAAAUUGGCCUUUGGAAUCUGACACUAGAGACUGGGUACAGCUCCUUUCCUUAGCCCCAUUCUGUGUAUGAAACACCCCGUCUCAGCUUGGACUAACCCCCUAUGAGAUCCAAUAUGGAGGACCCCCCCUCUUAGUUUCCUAAGGCCCCUCAUGACCCAUUUGCUCACAAACCCCAUCUGCAGGAGUGGUUGAAGGCUCUCCAGAUCUCCGAGCCCAGGCAUAGAGACCCCUGGCCACCCUGACACCUGAAAAUCUCACAUUCGUUCCAGAAUUGACGCCUGGGGUAUAUCCGGAGGGACAUGAAAAAAGCUACAGCACCCCACAGCCAGAACAGCAGCUGCCCGCUCAUACCUGCAAUCCAUGCCUCCUCAAGCCCUUGCUUUGAUACCCCUGCCCUCACCCCUGAUUUCUGUCAACUAGUAGCAGGGCUAGCUAGCCUCCUGGGAUAUCUGAGAUACAUAUCCCCCACAGCUGCCCCUGGAGGCUGGCAGAUUUUCCCCUGGAGAAAAUAUUUAGACAAGGGGGUUCAGACAUCUCCCCCACUUGUCUCCUAGGGGCGAGAAGCGGGACUGUCUCCAUGGGUGUCGGGAAGGACUUGGGACAUAAAAUGGUAUUUAUCUGACCAGAGCCUGCUGCUGCAGGCCAGACUAGACCCUCCCUAAAGGGGCCCUAGCUAUCCCUGCUGCUGCAGGCCAGACUAGACCCUCCGUAACGGGGCCCUAGCUAUCCCUGCUGCUGCCCGCUGGACUAGGCUACUCUCCCUGCUUCUCUGCUGGCACCUCCCAACACCAGCCCGGGCACCCGGAAAUCUCACACCCGUUCCAGCCUGGAUCCAUGCAUCUCACGUCAAGCCUACACCUCCACAGGACGACCCAGGACCAUCCAAAUGAAAGCUUCCACGUACCCAAAAUCCUCUCAACGAGGCCUGAUUCUGCCAGGCUUGCUGAUCUUUGCCCUGAUGU